GUGAACGCUGGCGGCGUGCCUAACACAUGCAAGUCGAACGAUGAUAGAGAGCUUGCUCUCUUGAUUAGUGUCGCACGGGUGAGUAUACCAUAGAUAAUGUCCCUCUUAGUUCGGGAUAGCCACUGUAAACGGUGAUUAAUACCUGAUACUCCUUCUUACUCUAAGUUAAGUCGGGAAAGUUUUUUCGCUAAGAGAUCAGUCUACGUCCUAUCAGCUAGUUGGUGAGGUAAUGGCUCACCAAGGCUAUGACGGGUAUCUGGUUUGAGAGGAUGAUCAGACACACUGGAACUGAGACACGGUCCAGACUCCUACGGGAGGCAGCAGUGAGGAAUAUUGCACAAUGGAGGAAACUCUGAUGCAGCAACGCCGCGUGGAGGAUGAAGCAUUUAGGUGUGUAAACUCCUUUUAAGAGGGAAGAUAAUGACGGUACCUCUUGAAUAAGCACCGGCUAACUCCGU
rnacentral:rRNA from 1 species